rnacentral:rRNA from 1 species
CCUACGGGCGGCAGCAGUGAGGAAUAUUGGUCAAUGGACGAGAGUCUGAACCAGCCAAGUAGCGUGAAGGAUGACGGUCUUCGGAUUGUAAAGUUCUUUUCUAAGGGAAGAAGAAAGUGACGGUACCUUAGGAAUAAGCCUCGGCUAACUACGUGCCAGCAGCCGCGGUAAUGCGUAGGAGGCAAGCGUUAUCCGGAAUGACUGGGGGUAAAGGGUGCGUAGGUGGUUUGACAAGUUAGUAGCGCAACUCCGGAGCUCAACUUCGGAACUACUACUAAAACUGUUGGACUUGAGUGCAGGAGGGGCAAUCGGAAUGCCUAGUGUAGCGGUGGAAUGCGUAGAUAUUAGGAGGAACACCAGUGGCGAAGGCGGAUUGCUAGACUGUAACUGACACUGAGGCACGAAAGCGUGGGGAGCAAACAGGAUUAGAUACCCCAGUAGUC